rnacentral:rRNA from 1 species
GACAGAGGGUGCAAACGUUGCUCGGAAUCACUGGGCGUAAAGGGCGUGUAGGCGGGAAGGAAAGUCAGAUGUGAAAGCCCUGGGCUCAACCCAGGAACUGCAUUUGAAACUCCCUUUCUUGAGUGUCGGAGAGGAAAGCGGAAUUCCUGGUGUAGAGGUGAAAUUCGUAGAUAUCCGGAGGAACACCAGUGGCGAAGGCGACUUUCUGGCCUGUUCUUGACGCUGAGGCGCGAAAGCUAGGGGGGCAAACGGG